rnacentral:pre_miRNA from 1 species
GUAAGGAUUAUUGCUUGUCUCACAUAAAAAUCUCAUGUGACAUGCCAUAAUUUCUUACAG